rnacentral:rRNA from 1 species
AACGAACGCUGGCGGCAGGCUUAACACAUGCAAGUCGAGCGCCCCGCAAGGGGAGCGGCGGACGGGUGAGUAACGCGUGGGAACGUGCCUUCUGGUUCGGAAUAACUCAGGGAAACUUGAGCUAAUACCGGAUACGCCCUUUUGGGGAAAGGUUUACUGCCGGAAGAUCGGCCCGCGUCUGAUUAGCUAGUUGGUGGGGUAACGGCCUACCAAGGCGACGAUCAGUAGCUGGUCUGAGAGGAUGAUCAGCCACACUGGGACUGAGACACGGCCCAGACUCCUACGGGAGGCAGCAGUGGGGAAUAUUGGACAAUGGGGGCAACCCUGAUCCAGCCAUGCCGCGUGAGUGAUGAAGGCCUUAGGGUUGUAAAGCUCUUCUAUCCGGGACGAUAAUGACGGUACCGGAGGAAUAAGCCCCGGCUAACUUCGUGCCAGCCGCCGCCGUAA